CCUACGGGCGGCAGCAGUGGGGAAUAUUGCACAAUGGGGGAAACCCUGAUGCAGCAACGCCGCGUGAGUGAAGAAGGGUUUCGGCUCGUAAAGCUCUGUUUGUAGUGAGGAAAGAUAGAGGUAGUAACUGUCCUUUAUUUUACGGUAAUUACUUAGAAAGGCACGGCUAACUACGUGCCAGCAGCCGCGGUAAUACGUAGGUGGCAAGCGUUGUCCGGAUUUAUUGGGCGGAAAGGGAGUGCAGGCGGUUCAAUAAGUCUGAUGUGAAAGCCCUCGGCUCAACCGGAGAAUUGCAUCAGAAACUGUUGAACUUGAGUGCAGAAGCGGAGAGUGGAACGCAAUGUGUAGCGGUGGAAUGCGUAGAUAUAUGGCAGAACACCAGUGGCGAAGGCGGCUCUCUGGUCUGCAACUGACGCUGAGGCUCGAAAGCAUGGGUAGCGAACAGGAUUAGAUACCCUUGUAGUC
rnacentral:rRNA from 1 species